rnacentral:tRNA from 1 species
GGGGAGAUACCCAAGUGGCCAAAGGGGGCUGGCUGUAAACCAGCUGCGCAAUGCUUCGGGGGUUCGAAUCCCUCUCUCCCCACCG